rnacentral:rRNA from 1 species
CCUACGGGAGGCAGCAGUGGGGAAUAUUGGGCAAUGGAGGAAACUCUGACCCAGCAACGCCGCGUGAAUGAUGAAGGUCUUCGGAUUGUAAAGUUCUUUUCUAAGGGAAGAAGAAAGUGACGGUACCUUAGGAAUAAGCCUCGGCUAACUACGAGCCAGGAGCCGCGGUAAGACGUAGGAGGCGAGCGUGAGCCGGAAUGACGGGGAGUAAAGGGGGCGUAGGUGGGUGGGCAAGUUAGUCGCGUAACUCCCAGGCUCAACCUUGGAACUACUACUAAAACUGUUGGACUGGCGUGCAGGAGGGGCAACCGGACUUCCUCGUGUAGCGGUGGAAUGCGUCGAUAUUAGGAGGACCCCCAGUCGCGACGGCGUGUUGCUAGCCUGUACCUGACACUGAGGCAC